rnacentral:rRNA from 1 species
CCCGCACAAGCGGUGGAGCAUGUGGUUAAUUCGACGCAACGCGAAGAACCUUACCAGGGCUUGACAUCCCCUGACCGCGUAUGAAAGUACGUUUUCACCCUCGGGUGACAGGGAGACAGGUGGUGCAUGGUUGUCGUCAGCUCGUGUCGUGAGAUGUUGGGUUAAGUCCCGCAACGAGCGCAACCCCUACGUUUAGUUGCUAACAGGUGAAGCUGAGCACUCUAGACGAACUGCCGUUGACAAAACGGAGGAAGUGGGGAUGACGUCAAAUCAUCAUGCCCCUUAUGUUCUGGGCUACACACGUGCUACAAUGGCCGGUACAGACGGAGGCGAAGCCGCGAGGCGGAGCAAAUCCGAAAAAGCCGGUCUCAGUUCGGAUUGCAGGCUGCAAUUCGCCUGCAUGAAGUCGGAAUCGCUAGUAAUCGCAGGUCAGCAUACUGCGGUGAAUACGUUCCCGGGCCUU